UCGAACGAUGAAGCGACUAGCUUGCUAGUUGUGGAUUAGUGGCGCACGGGUGAGUAAGGUAUAGUUAAUCUGCCCUACACAAGAGGACAACAGUUGGAAACGGCUGCUAAUACUCUAUACUCCUGCUUAACACAAGUUGAGUAGGGAAAGUUUUUCGGUGUAGGAUGAGACUAUAUAGUAUCAGCUAGUUGGUGAGGUAAUGGCUCACCAAGGCUAUGACGCUUAACUGGUCUGAGAGGAUGAUCAGUCACACUGGAACUGAGACACGGUCCAGACUCCUACGGGAGGCAGCAGUAGGGAAUAUUGCGCAAUGGGGGAAACCCUGACGCAGCAACGCCGCGUGGAGGAUGACACUUUUCGGAGCGUAAACUCCUUUUCUUAGGGAAGAAUUCUGACGGUACCUAAGGAAUAAGCACCGGCUAACUCCGUGCCAGCAGCCGCGGUAAUACGGAGGGUGCAAGCGUUACUCGGAAUCACUGGGCGUAAAGGGCGCGUAGGCGGAUUAUCAAGUCUCUUGUGAAAUCCAACGGCUUAACCGUUGAACUGCUUGGGAAACUGGUAAUCUAGAGUGGGGGAGAGGCAGAUGGAAUUGGUGGUGUAGGGGUAAAAUCCGUAGAUAUCACCAAGAAUACCCAUUGCGAAGGCGAUCUGCUGGAACUUAACUGACGCUAAGGCGCGAAAGCGUGGGGAGCAAACAGGAUUAGAUACCCUGGUAGUCCACGCCCUAAACGAUGUAUGCUAGUUGUUGGGGUGCUAGUCAUCUCAGUAAUGCAGCUAACGCAUUAAGCAUACCGCCUGGGGAGUACGGUCGCAAGAUUAAAACUCAAAGGAAUAGACGGGGACCCGCACAAGCGGUGGAGCAUGUGGUUUAAUUCGAAGAUACGCGAAGAACCUUACCUGGGCUUGAUAUCCUAAGAACCUUAUAGAGAUAUGAGGGUGCUAGCUUGCUAGAACUUAGAGACAGGUGCUGCACGGCUGUCGUCAGCUCGUGUCGUGAGAUGUUGGGUUAAGUCCCGCAACGAGCGCAACCCACGUAUUUAGUUGCUAACACUUCGGGUGAGCACUCUAAAUAGACUGCCUUCGUAAGGAGGAGGAAGGUGUGGACGACGUCAAGUCAUCAUGGCCCUUAUGCCCAGGGCGACACACGUGCUACAAUGGCAUAUACAAUGAGACGCAAUACCGCGAGGUGGAGCAAAUCUAUAAAAUAUGUCCCAGUUCGGAUUGUUCUCUGCAACUCGAGAGCAUGAAGCCGGAAUCGCUAGUAAUC
rnacentral:rRNA from 1 species